CUUUUGUUUUAGCACCACAAUUUCAUGAGCCCUUUGGCUUCCUCUCGUUCCGUUUCGCCCGAUCUACUCGAUCUAGUCCCCGGCGGUGGAUCUAGCCUACUCAACGGGCCAUACAGUAGGUGCUGAGGUCUAUCCGGCGAUUCCGGUUGGAGCGUAACUUCCGGUUCACCGGCGCCCCAACGACCCACUGCUAGCUCUGCGACGCGGUCUACUCGGUCCAAUCCCCGGCGGUGGAUAUAGCCUACUCACGAGCUACCCGGAAGGAUGUCGAGGUCGGUUCAGCGAUUCCGGUGAAGCUUGACGUCCGAUUCCCAGGCGCCCCGACGACCCAACUCGGUGCUACAUCACGCACUACUCAACUGGUCCCCGGCGGUGGACCUAGUCUACACAGUUGGAGAGUUCCCCGGCGGCGGAAUUUCUCUCGAAACCCGAUUUGCGGUUUCUUGUUGGUCUCUACGCCACUUCCUCUGCAACUCGGAGAGUAUGCUCGAGACCACUCUGUUGACAGCGUCCCAGGUAUGUUCGUCACGGCACAUCUCUUCGACGAUAUUGUCCGCUGUCAUACCAGGUAUACCCCUACGAACUUCUUCGAAUCUACGGCAUUCGAAGACCACGUGUUCCGGUGUCUCCUGCACGGUCGCACAACCCGGGCAAAGGGGUGACGAAGCAUGUCCAAACCGAUGCAAGUACUUCCGGAAGCAUCCGUGCCCGGACAAAAACUGCGUCAAAUGGAAGUUCACCUCUCCAUGCUUCCUAUGUACCCAGGCCGAUACAUUUGGGAUGAGUCGGUGGGUCCACCUUCCUUUCUCCGCGUUGUCCCACUCCUGUUGCCAUUUCGUCGCUGUUGUGCUAUCUUAUGACAAACGCCAUUUUGGGGUAAACUGAGUUAGAUAUGCCACAUUACUUGUUUGAAAAAUCUCUACAAAGUGGCGUUUUCAGAAUUUUGAAAUUCUACUUGGUUACUUAGAUAUAGCUAGAAACAUGAUAAGAAAUUGUGAGUUUUUUGCUUCAAAUCACUAUAUCUAGAGAUUGGCUCAAGUUAUAUUGAAGUUUUAGACGGUUUUAUGUGUGAAAAUGUCUGAGGAACACAAUGGCAUAAACAUUUUCGAAAGAAAAUUAUACGAGUUGUGAGAAAAACACAGUUUUAGUUUUGAACUGGAAAUAAAAUAUAUUUGGCAACACUGUAAUCAAGAAUAACUAUUUUUUCUAGAUUCCCUGACUCAUUUCCUUUAAAAUGCAUUUCACCGAAUGUUUAUAGACCAUAUGAACCCAAAGAUAUGAAUAAAAGUUAAAAAGUGAUGAUUUUUUUCUAUGGAAAAUUUUCCAUGCACGAUUAUGACACGUCAUACAAAUUUUGUCAUCAAUACACGCCUAUGACACGUGUGAGUGCGACUUUUGUUUACAUUCAUAGUAAAAACUCGCAACAUAGUCAACCGAUCUUCGUAAUAUUUGAGAGAUUAAUGCAGAACAGGUAGAAGCAUCAAUUGUCUUCUUUGGAUUGUUUAUACCAUUUAUAAGUUUCAAGAUAUUCAAUCUCAAACUUUAAAAAUCGUUUUUCUCGAAAUGUGCUAAAUGGCGCUUGUCAUAAGAUAGCACAACAGCGACGAUUUAGCCAACGAGUCCGCUCGAACCUGUCUCCUAGCGUUACGUGCAUUUCUCCGCUGAUAGCAUUCCACGUCCUCCGCCAGGGUAAUGCAGAUGGGGAUCAUCCCGGCGAUAACGCAUACUGCCUCCGACGAUAUUGUUCUGUAGGCACUCGCGACUCGUACGGCCAUCAGUCGGAAUGUCCUGUUUAGCUUUUCACGGUUCCGCUUGGUAUUCAGCGCAGCACUCCAGGCAAGAACCCCAUAUCGGAGUAUCGAUGACGAAACAGUAGAUAGCAGACGUCUCGUGCUGCUUCUCGGACCGCCGACGUUUGGCAUGAUUUUCGCUAUUGCGUUCGUUGCCUUCGCCGACUUUUCACAGGCGUAAUCAACGUGGUUGUUGAAGCUCAACCGGUCGUCGAUUAUAACUCCCAAUUGCUUCAAAGCACGUUUCGAUGCAAUCACGUGCCCUCCGACGUCGAUCUGCAUCCGUUGGACCGAUCUGCAGUUACUGCCCAACAACACCUCCGUCUUGUGGUGAGCUAUUUGCAGCUUGACCCCGUUCAUCCAGCUCUCGAUCGCGUCUAUUGUCUCCGUCACCGACACCUCCACUUCUUCAAGUGUCUCACCCAUCACCGUUAGUGACACGUCGCACAGUGGCGGGUCUUCAAACAAAAGUCGGUCAAAACCUCAAAUGUUACCUAAUUUGGCUGCAAAUCACAAUUUAAGCUAAUUUUGAGGAGCAGAGCUCAUUUUUGAUGUCAAAAAUAGAAAAAUAUUAAAUGCAUUUUUCCAUACAGUGUCAUUGAAUCUUUCUUGUAACUAAGUUCCUGUUUUCAUGAUAGAUUUUCCAUUACUGUACACCAAUGUCAGCAAUAUCAUAAAAAAUGAAGAACACUACUUUAAAUCCAUUGUAUAACGUGUUGGUUUACUGUAGAUUGCCUAACUAUUUUACACAAAACACCAUGCGCCUCCAUAUCAGCAACAAAGCUUCAAAAUCUCCUUAAACCUUUUUGCGCACUUAGGCGCAGAACGAGACCAUGAUAUUCGAAAAGUAGAAGUUAUUUCCCAUAGAAUGUGUACUAUGUGACCGUUCCGAAAUGAUUCCGAAAUUUCUACACAAUACAUUAGGGAAAGAAGUAUUUUUGAUCUGACCACCUCAAACAUAUUUAAACUAAAAAGUCAUAAUUCCAAGCAAAGUUACCAAAUGUAUUUUAUUCACUAACCAAGUUUUUUCGUUCCUCUACAGAAUGAAACUAGUUGUGCUACAAUCGGACCAAAAUAAAAAGAGCAACAUGCAUUUGAAGUGAACAGAGUAAUGGUGAUUUCGGAAAUGAAAAUCAUUAAAAAGACCGGACUUUGCUACGUUUAAACUCAUCUUAAAAAUCGUAUUCUUAGCCAAUGAUCACAAAAUUUUGAAUAUACACCAUUCAAUACAUGAGAAAUUUAGAAAAAAUCCUGCGACUGGUGGUAUUUCGUCGCGGUCUACUCAGUCUAGUCCCCGGCGGUGGAUCUAGCUUACGCCGACGGAGAGUUCCCCGGCGAAGGAGGCUCCCCCGGUACCGAUUCUUCUUUUGUUUUAGCACCACAAUUUCAUGAGCCCUUUGGCUUCCUCUCGUUCCGUUUCGCCCGAUCUGCUCGAUCUAGUCCCCGGCGGUGGAUCUAGCCUACUCAACGGGCCAUACAGUAGGUGCUGAGGUCUAUCCGGCGAUUCCGGUUGGAGCGUAACUUCCGGUUCACCGGCGCCCCAACGACUCACUGCUAGCUCUGCGACGCGGGCUACUCGGUCCAAUCCCCGGCGGUGGAUAUAGCCUACUCACGAGCUACCCGGAAGGAUGUCGAGGUCGGUUCAGCGAUUCCGGUGAAGCUUGACGUCCGGUUCCCAGGCGCCCCGACGACCCAACUCGGUGCUACAUCACGCACUACUCAACUGGUCCCCGGCGGUGGACCUAGUCUACACAGUUGGAGAGUUCCCCGGCGGCGGAAUUUCUCUCGAAACCCGAUUUGCGGUUUCUUGUUGGUCUCUACGCCACUUCCUCUGCAACUCGGAGAGUAUGCUCGAGACCACUCUGUUGACAGCGUCCCAGGUAUGUUCGUCACGGCACAUCUCUUCGACGAUAUUGUCCGCUGUCAUACCAGGUAUACCCCUACGAACUUCUUCGAAUCUACGGCAUUCGAAGACCACGUGUUCCGGUGUCUCCUGCACGGUCGCACAACCCGGGCAAAGGGGUGACGAAGCAUGUCCAAACCGAUGCAAGUACUUCCGGAAGCAUCCGUGCCCGGACAAAAACUGCGUCAAAUGGAAGUUCACCUCUCCAUGCUUCCUAUGUACCCAGGCCGAUACAUUUGGGAUGAGUCGGUGGGUCCACCUUCCUUUCUCCGCGUUGUCCCACUCCUGUUGCCAUUUAGCCAACGAGUCCGCUCGAACCUGUCUCCUAGCGUUACGUGCAUUUCUCCGCUGAUAGCAUUCCACGUCCUCCGCCAGGGUAAUGCAGAUGGGGAUCAUCCCGGCGAUAACACAUACUGCCUCCGACGAUAUUGUUCUGUAGGCACUCGCGACUCGUACGGCCAUCAGUCGGAAUGUCCUGUUUAGCUUUUCACGGUUCCGCUUGGUUUUCAGCGCAGCACUCCAGGCAGGAACCCCAUAUCGGAGUAUCGAUGACGAAACAGUAGAUAGCAGACGUCUCGUGCUGCUUCUCGGACCGCCGACGUUUGGCAUGAUUCUCGCUAUUGCGUUCGUUGCCUUCGCCGACUUUUCACAGGCGUAAUCAACGUGGUUGUUGAAGCUCAACCGGUCGUCGAUUAUAACUCCCAAUAGACCUUUCUCGUCCGACCUAACCCCCUUUUUUCUUAUUUUUAUUCAAAAGACUACACAUUUUUAAGAAUAUUUCCGCUGAAAUGAGACUUUUUAGAGCUAUCGUGAUUUUUUAAUGAUUUUUUUAAAUUUGAAAAAUGCAAGAAUGUUGAGUAUUUUUUUCACCUUUGCAAGAAUGGUGGGACUCAAAAUAUGUGUUUGGGCAGCACUGUUUUGUAUAUUUUUGCUUGGCUUCCUGGCAACGCGGCAAAUGAAGUGGUGAGUCGCGGUACAAAGUUCAUUGGUUAUGUAAACAAACUAAAGUGAACCUCUCGGUGGAGAACGUUGCAUGGUAAUGUUUAACCUCACUUUUUUGACAGUUCAAAGAGAUUGUUUACAUGAUCUUGGAAUUUUUGUUGAUUCGAUCAUAGUAUGAGAAACUUGGUUUGGUUCGCUGCCAAAUGUUAACACUUUCCCAACAAGGUCGCUCAGCUGUAUUUUUUAAUUGAUGUCGGCAUCAUACAUUGUUCCGUUAAAUUUAACAUUUUUACUUUUCUUGUACAUGAUUCAUUGAAGACGCAAGGAAUUUCUAGCCAAACAUUUGAAAAAGGCCUACUGCCAAAUGCAAACAAAUCGAAUUUUGAUGUUCUCUAUUAAAAUCCUGGGACAGAACCUGUGGAUAGAUGUUUUCUUUUUCUUUUUUCUGUUCAUUUUAUCUCUUGUCUUGCAUAGCCACUCUUUCUUCCUCACAUAUUUUAAAUGGACUAGCUACAUUUGACAGUCCCCCCUGACUGCAUUUGACGGUUCCCUUUGGCUGCAUUGACAGCUCCCCUGGCUACAAUUGACAUUAGGUUUUUUCGUAUCCACACGUUCCGUCCCACUUAAAAACUAUCUAUCUGGCCAUGUACAUAAACAUAACGCAACAAUGGAUUAUGAAGAAUUUUGAUAAUGAUUUUAUAACAAAUUAUAAAAACCCGGCUGAUAUAAAAGUCCUAACUAGCAAUACACUUAUUAUAAAAUGAUUAUAAAGGAUUAUUGUAACUGAUUCCAAAAGGAUUAUAAAGGCAGUGAAAUACGUACUCAAUGAAUAAAGGGGUGUGUCUGAUGUAAACAAUAUGCGCAAUCAAACUAAAUAAAACAGUAUUCAAUUUUUAAAUAGAAUUAUAAUGAAUUCGACCAAAACUUCUUUUGCCUUUUUCUCAUUUUCAAAUGGUUGGGUAGAAUUUAGAUUAUUUUAUCGUUGUUGCGAUCAAUUUCGUUUGGUUUGUUUUGUUCACAAUGUUAGUCGCAGAGCAUUUUGGUGAUCUAUGGCAAUUGAUGACCUUUACACCCCAUACUAGAUCCGCUCCUGUUGCAGCUGUUUCGCCCUGUCCGGCACCGAGUCAACCGAUGGUCCAACCUGCGCCGCACUCGUCUGUCGCUAUGUCAAUGGCAGGGACUUGGAUUAAAGGCCAAAAUUUCAGCUACAAUUGGUGGUGUUGCUGCAAUCGGUUUGCCUUCGGCCACGUUGGGCUAACGGGAAUAUUCAGCGAUUCCGAUUCGAAGGAAGCAGCGCCAGUAGCAGACUGCUUCGGUUCAGCAAUACGCUCCGGUAUCGGACGAAGCAAACACUCCGACAGGACGAAGGUUUCAACGAGGGGCUCAGGCAUAAGUAGCAGAGUCCUUGCACUUCUUGCUUGUCGAGUGAACAAUUCCGACGAAACCACUGCCGCUCUCGCCAAGUUUGAUCACCGUAAUAAGUGCGACGUCAGCGGUAUAGUGCCAGGAUUAGUCGAGAACAGUGCCAGGACUGACUUGCCAACAGCUACAAGAUUAAAUAGCAAUGCGUUUUUAAAGUGACCAUAGUAUAACUUAGAGGCUUUAGCCAGAUGAUUUAUUCAGCAGAAUAAGAUAGCAAAAUUACCCAAAACAUAAGACCUGGCUGCCGAAGUGAAUACACACACAUCAUCACGUACAGAGGUAAGCAAUAUUGGAACGCAGAGAAAUUCCUCACAAUGAAUUGAUCUCGUUAGGUGAAAUUCCAGGAAAUACAAUUUUCAUAGCACAAUUUAGUCGACCGAAAUUGUAGUCCUCAGUCGAGAGAAAGACUGAUAGAGUAGCAGCAGCUAGGAAUUUUCUUUCGAAAGCUAGCAGCGGUUUCGCGUAUCCUGCGCUAAGUAGAGAGCGUUAAGACAGAUCUCCGAAACAUGUCAAGUGCUAUCAGAUGAGAAAAAACGUCGCAUCUAUGACCAGUACUACAAGGACGGUUUGCUGACCAACGGUUCCGUCCGGUACCACCAUAACACACGACACCGGUGACACAUACAUAUUCACAACAUACUAAUUACUUAUCCUUCCGAAAAAGUAAAUAAAUUGACUAUGCAAUUUAUCAUUCGCUGCCUAGUUAUUUCCUGCCAAUUUGAACAAGACAGCAGUUGCAGAAAGCUUUAUUGCGGGGCAAAAAUGAUGGCAACUCGGGAUAUAAUAUAAAUUUACAUAUAAUUCCUCCUCCCUGAUAUUCUUCCAGAAUGUAUAAUGCUCUGCAUUCUUAUCACUCCUAUCAAAUCCUUCUUACUCCUUAUCGUCAGUGCCGAGCACUGUUUUGCAUUUGCCGGCUAAAUCAACGACAAUGCGAUAAUCGUCAAUCGACGAAACUUUUGCUGUAAUGGAACUUGAACACGAAUAAUAAAUAAUUGUUCCAUUCGAAAGCGAUAACCUUGUUGUCCUCAUGUUUGCAGCUAUCAUGCGCUGGUAGGCAUUCUGACCAAUGGAAACGUUUUUCGGUAUGGGCAUUGAACGAUCAUUUCAACAACUUAUCAUCGACCGAAUUCGUUACCUAUAAAGUUCAGGUAAACUUCACCACCUAAAAAUGAGUAAUAAAUCGGAUCAUCUUGUUAGGACUUAACCCACGAGCAAACAAACAAAUGUGUACAAAUCCUUAUCCAUCAUCCAGAAAUCGUUUUAUAGCCCAAUGCUUGAUCUUACGAUUCAGCAUAUGCCACCGGGUUUUGCAUCCAGCGCCGAUUGGUCAAUGUAUGAACCAGGGGUGACAUUACGCAUCUCGAAACGAAAGGUUUAUUGUAUUCAAGCUUGUGUGAAAAGGUCGAUUCGAAUUGGUUGCAUAAUGUGGCACCAGGUUCCCAUUGUUCCAAUCCUCAUCCCUCUUGAGUUGAUAGUCUUUCAAAGAGCAUCGAAAGUAUUCAAGUAAUGUAAAUUUUAAAAGUUCAUGUAAACAAGUCUUAGGUAAACAAGCACACUGAACUGUCAGAAAAGUGAGGUUAUACAUUUUCAUGCAAUGCUCUAUGUUUUUGACAGGUAUAUGAAUGAAUCAUUUCAGCAUCAGUGAUGCCAGGUCUAUUUAAACAAUAGCCUGCAGUGAAAAUAUAAAAGUCUGCAGAUUGCUACAAAAAUCUUCAAUAAAUUUGACAUAGAAAUGAAGUAUGUAUAUAUUUUAAAUGAUCAAAAAUGUUGAAGGCUUGUGUAUAAAUUGGCUGGCAUAGGAUUUGUUCUGCUAAAUAUUUGUAAUCUGCAAAACAUCUGCAGUGAAAAUGCAAAAUCUGCAGAUCUGGCAUCCUUUUAGUAUUCCCCACAGGAAAUUCAUCCAAAUGGUGUAAAAAUACGGGGAAACAAGGCAAGAUAGGUAUUCAGAAUAUGGGGUUAAAUGAGCAGCUUGCACUAUUUUUGAAUUUUUUCAAUAGUUAGAGGUGCCAAAUCAUCGCGGCAAUCAGCAGUAACGAAUUGGGGAUAAAAAAGGGAGCAUCCUAUCAUAUAAAAUUUUUUGACGAGAAAGGUCUAUUGAUGGAUUGUAUCGAAUGGUAUAUGUCACUCGGGCCUCCGGGUCUCCGUUUAAAAGACGGUUUUCAGAGCAGUUUUCUAUUGAGAAAGGCAAAACGUAAAUCGUAUGAAUAAUUUGUAGCAAAUAGUGGCACAUUUUACACUUUUAUAAUUAGUGGCUCAUGUCCCUUCAGAUUUGACCGCACUUACCGCUUGAUGACGUCCCAGUUUGAUAUUUCUUUUGAGUGUUUUGAGAAAACUGAGAAAACGAAAAUCGUCAACGCAGGCCUGAAUACGGUUAAAGAAAUAUAAACAAAUUUUGGUAUCCUCGCAUCGUUGUCCGGAGCAGUUGGAUAUCAUUGUCAUCAAUAACCCCAGGGUUGAAAAAUUGAUUCGGUUCUGUGACUUCGAAUCUAAAGACUAUGGCGUGCGGCAUCGAAGAAUUUAUUCCGUGCACUUUAGGUCGUCUUGUUUCAAACACCUAUUAAAUCUAUCUAAAGGAUGAUGAUCGAGUUGCACUUUUUGUUGCCAACGAACGGAAAACAGCGACCAGCUGCUGCAUUUGCUCCACCACCCGUUUUUUCUAAGAGAUCAGAGAUGUGUAUUUUCGCUCUGCAGUUUGUUGCUUUUAGCUAAAUAGUUGAAGAAAUUUUUCUCCUCGAAAUAUUUGAUUAUUUCUGCUGCCUCUGCACUCCUUGCUGUCGUUCGAUUCCGUUCACGUAGCUUCGACGUGCUGCCUCGUGGAUCAUCAACUCGUCGGUAGCGAGCCGCGUGGCUUGUUUCGAUAUUCCACCUAUUACUAUGGGCCUUGGUUGCGUUUAGAUGACCUCGCAUCUGCGUGGUGACUUCAGGAAACUAUUCAGUCAUGUCAAACUGAGGCUUCCAAUAGUCAACACCGGUGAAACAACGUCAUCUCGGUUAUUGACUUCAGAUACAUCGAGCAAUACGGAACAUUUGAACAAGACUGUAGCUUACCCGAGCUCCGAGCCACUACAAUUCCAUUUGACUUUAGUCAUACCGGCUGGAAUAUAAUAUAGAAUUCUGGCUGUCUAAGAGACAAGUAUUUAAA